rnacentral:lncRNA from 1 species
CCGGUGAAUGACUUAGCCACUUAACCUUAUUAGGAGUAAUAUGUAUGUGGUAAAGGUUAGCUAAUGGGUUUAGCUAAUGAAAUACAAUUUAUGAUAUUACGAAGUGAAAGUGUAGGAGCAGGGAAAAAAAAAAAAAAAAAAAAAAGAAGGCCUCCUGGUUUGUGCCAAGGUUAAGUUUGUGGACUUCCAGCUGAGGCACGUGAGCCCAAGAUCUCCACCUGCUGAGGUAAUCAGCCAGCCCAGGCCUACAGGUAGCUGCAAGAAGCUUAACGUGUGGAGAAACUAACUUCUCCUUACAAAGAUAUGAUUCUAACUAUUUCGACCAGACUGUCUUGGGGCCCUACCUCUCAGGAACUGAGUGCUGGAAAACCUCCACUGGAAAAAAACAAAAAACCAAAAAAACAACAACACCCUUUUAAAAGAGAGGAUAUCAGAAGUAUACAUCUUUUAUCCAUGCCCCACACACUUGCAUGUGAAGGGAGAGCACCAGCUGUUUUUCUCAUGGAGGCACUAUGGAAAACACACCUCUCAAACUGGGGCUCACAGCCAGGACAACUGGUGAUGGUGACACAAAAAAGCAACUCAUCACAGCCCUAGGAUCGUAAUCUCAAAGAUGACAUCAAUCUGUUUUCAUGUAUCCAACCCGUGUCAAUUAUUUGAUGCAGAACAAAUGUAAUUGUAAUCUAAAAACACUGAGUAAGAAAAAGGUAGAUGCAUUUUAGAAAGAAGCAUGGGUUUAUAACAGAGGAAAAAAG